UUUAUUUUUAAUAAUAUAUAAAAUAUAAUUAUGUUUUUAAUUAUUUUAUUAAAAAUUGCAUUGGGGUUAUGAAAAAAAAAUAUUAAUUUUUUUUAUUAUUAGUCAUUUAUAUUUGUUUUUUUGAUCCAAUUUUAUUGAUUAAAAGAUUAAGUUACCUUAGGGAUAACAGCGUUAUUACUUUGAAGAGUUCUUAUCGAUAAAGUAGUUUGCGACCUCGAUGUUGGAUUAAAAUUAACUUCAGUUGUAGCAUUUUGAUAGUUAAGUCCUGUUCGACUUUUAAAUUUUU
rnacentral:rRNA from 1 species